UCUCCGUUGGUGAACCAGCGGAGGGAUCAUUACAGAGUUGUAAAACUCCCAAACCCAUGUGAACAUACCUGUUGCCUCGGUGGCCUACCCGGUAGCUACCCUGUAGCUACCCUGUAGUCCGCCGACGGAACUUAAAACUCUUGUUUUCAAUUGUCAUUUCUGAGAAUAAAACAAAUAAAUCAAAACUUUCAACAACGGAUCUCUUGGUUCUG
rnacentral:misc_RNA from 1 species